CCUCCCCCCUCCCAGUUAGACUCUUUGCUCUAAAGGGCAGGCUCUAGAAUUUCUUCUUCUGCCUCCAGACCCCUCUCCCCCACUUCCGCCCAGCAGGGCCCUGGAAACCAGCUAGCGGCCAGCAGCGUUUUGAGAGAUGAACAGUAAGGGAUGAGAAGGACAGCAAAGGCAAGGGGAGCUCUUCUUGGGCCUCUGCUCACUAGGUAACUGGUUUCCCUCUGGACCUGAUUCUCCCCAUCCUGCAGCUCACACAGGUUGGGGCAGCGAGGGAGGGAGGAUUUCUCACCAGGCCCCACCCACACCACGGCCGGAGAGCGGGAGCACGUUAGGGCCUUGUCUACUGCGCACCACCUGGGACCCAGGCCCGUGCUGGCUUCGCGCGUGAGCUCACUUACCCGAAAUAGCCUCAUGAUGGGGGUUGCUCGUUGGCCUCAGUUUCCAGUGGAGGAAGCUGAGGCUUCGAGAGGCUGGAUAGUUGCCCAGGUCACCCAGCUGGGAUUCCCAGGGUAUGGUUCCCCAGUGCCAGUGCUCUCUGAUUCCAGGUGAGUGAAGUCCG